GGAGAAAGAGAGGGACCUUAGUCUUAUAUGAUUUAACAUGAAUUAGGAGGAGACAGUGUUGAGAUUUUUAAUAACAUGUAACUGUCUGUAUGGAUCAUAGUAUUAAGGUUACAUAUAAUAGCCUAUUUGGGCUCUGGGUAAUCAGGUAUUUUAUCUGCUGAACUAUAACAUUUGACAAACCAACCAGAUUCAAUUAA